rnacentral:rRNA from 1 species
GAGCGAGUGGCGAACGGGUGAGUAACGCGUGAGGAACCUGCCUCAAAGAGGGGGACAACAGUUGGAAACGACUGCUAAUACCGCAUAAGCCCACGGGUCGGCAUCGACCAGAGGGAAAAGGAGCAAUCCGCUUUGAGAUGGCCUCGCGUCCGAUUAGCUGGUUGGUGAGGUAAUGGCCCACCAAGGCGACGAUCGGUAGCCGGACUGAGAGGUUGAACGGCCACAUUGGGACUGAGACACGGCCCAGACUCCUACGGGAGGCAGCAGUGGGGAAUAUUGCACAAUGGGGGAAACCCUGAUGCAGCGACGCCGCGUGGAGGAAGAAGGUCUUCGGAUUGUAAACUCCUGUUGUUGAGGAAGAUAAUGACGGUACUCAACAAGGAAGUGACGGCUAACUACGUGCCAGCAGCCGCGGUAAAACGUAGGUCACAAGCGUUGUCCGGAAUUACUGGGUGUAAAGGGAGCGCAGGCGGGAAGACAAGUUGGAAGUGAAAUCCAUGGGCUCAACCCAUGAACUGCUUUCAAAACUGUUUUUCUUGAGUAGUGCAGAGGUAGGCGGAAUUCCCGGUGUAGCGGUGGAAUGCGUAGAUAUCGGGAGGA